rnacentral:rRNA from 1 species
AAACGGCNGCGUUAGCGUGAGCGUGCUAAGGUAGCGUAAUAAAUAGCCUUUUAAUUGGAGGCCAGUGAAUGGCAAGACUAGGGAUAUCUAUGCCCUGUAUGGCAAAAAAACUUUUCGUCUGAGUGAAAAGACUCGAGUAACAAAGAAAGACGAAAAGACCCCGCGGAACUUUACCUUUUCUAGUCUUAACACACUUAAAAACACUAAAACAAAAGGUUUGAUUGGGGCAAUCUCGGAACCGCCCAAACUUCCGACCUAUAUAUAAAACCAUACAAAACUUAAUUAGGACAAAAAAGAAGUUACCCCGGGGAUAACAGCGUAAUCUAAUUUGAGAGUACACAUCGAAAAUUGGGUUUGCGACCUCGAUGUUGGCUUAAGG